rnacentral:rRNA from 1 species
UACGUAGGGUGCAAGCGUUAAUCGGAAUUACUGGGCGUAAAGCGUGCGCAGGCGGUUGUGCAAGACAGAUGUGAAAUCCCCGGGCUCAACCUGGGAAUUGCAUUUGUGACUGCACGGCUAGAGUGUGUCAGAGGGGGGUAGAAUUCCACGUGUGAGCAGUGAAAUGCGUAGAGAUGUGGAGGAAUACCGAUGGCGAAGGCAGCCCCCUGGGAUAACACUGACGCUCAUGCACGAAAGCGUGGGGAGCAA